rnacentral:lncRNA from 1 species
UAUGUAUAUGUAUAUGUAUAUAUGAUGAUUAUGCUGACAAAAUGAUCACGAAGGAUACAAAGGUGUCGCAAAGAAUUUGAAUCAUCGGUACAAUCCUCGGUCAAUCCACAAAAAGAGGGAGACAACUGCUGGAGAAUAGAGAAAUCAACAAACCAAAAGCUCAAAUCUAACCAAGGGAGGAGAUCUGCUGAGAAGAGGCAAAGUUAUCGAGUCCGCAUGGAAUUUUAGAUCAACA